rnacentral:rRNA from 1 species
ACGGAAGGCAGCAGUAGGGAAUAUUGCACAAUGGGGGGAACCCUGAUGCAGCAACGCCACGUGUGUGAAGAAGCAUUUCGGUGUGUAAACCACUGUCGUGAGGGAAUAAUGCUUGGUCUCGGCCAAGUUGAAUGUACCUCGAAAGGAAGCACCGGCAAACUUCGUGCCAGCAGCCGCGGUAAUACGAGGGGUGCAAGCGUUGUUCGGAAUCACUGGGCGUAAAGGGAGCGCAGGCGGAGAUGCAAGCAGUCUGUACAAUACCGGGGCCCAACCCCGGACCUGCAGACUGGACUGCUUCUCUUGGAUAGUUCAGGGGCAAGCGGAAUUCCUGGUGUAGCGGUGGAAUGCGUAGGGAUCAGGAAGAACACCGAUGGCGAAGGCAGCUUGCUGGGGACUUAUCGACGCUCAUGCUCGAAAGUGCGGGUAGCAAACAGGAUUAGAUACCCUGGUA